rnacentral:tRNA from 1 species
UUAGUACUUUUAGUGUUUUAUGUAGGGUAGUUAGUUUUAUGUAGGUAGAAUUCUGUUUUUGUAA